rnacentral:rRNA from 1 species
AUACGAAGGGUGCAAGCGUUAAUCGGAAUUACUGGGCGUAAAGCGCGCGUAGGUGGUUUUGUAAGUUGGAGGUGAAAGCCCCGGGCUCAACCUGGGAAUUGCCUCCAAAACUGCAUGACUAGAGUACGGUAGAGGGUAGUGGAAUUUCCUGUGUAGCGGUGAAAUGCGUAGAUAUAGGAAGGAACACCAGUGGCGAAGGCGACUCCCUGGACUGAUACUGCCACUGAGGUGCGAAAGCGUGGGGAGCAAACAGGAUUAGAUCCCCUGGUAGUCCACGCCGUAAACGAUGUCAACUAGCCGUUGGGAUCCUUGAGAUCUUAGUGGCGCAGCUAACGCAUUAAGUUGACCGCCUGGGGAGUACGGCCGCAAGGUUAAAACUCAAAUGAAUUGGCGGGG